UACGUAGGGUGCGAGCGUUAUUCGGAAUUACUGGGCGUAAAGCGUGCGCAGGCGGUUUUUCAAGUCCGAUGUGAAAUCCCCGGGCUCAACCUGGGAAUGGCAUUUGUGACUGGAAGGCUAGAGUGUGUCAGAGGGGGGUAGAAUUCCACGUGUAGCAGUGAAAUGCGUAGAGAUGUGGAGGAAUACCGAUGGCGAAGGCAGCCCCCUGGGAUAACACUGACGCUCAUGCACGAAAGCGUGGGGAGCAAACAGG
rnacentral:rRNA from 1 species